CUGAAGGAACGUUGAAGACGACGACGUUGAUAGGCCGGGUGUGUAAGCGCAGCGAUGCGUUGAGCUAACCGGUACUAAUGAGCCGUGAGGCUUAACCUU
rnacentral:rRNA from 1 species